rnacentral:rRNA from 1 species
GAUGAACGCUGGCGGCGUGCUUAACACAUGCAAGUCGAACGAAGCGCUUAAAUGGAUUUCUUCGGAUUGAAGUUUUUGUGACUGAGUGGCGGACGGGUGAGUAACGCGUGGGUAACUUGCCUCAUACAGGGGGAUAACAGUUAGAAAUGACUGCUAAUACCGCAUAAUAUAUACAGGUCGCAUGAUUUGUAUAUCAAAGAUUUAUCGCUGAAAGAUGGACUCGCGUCUGAUUAGCUAGUUGGCGGGGUAACGGCCCACCAAGGCGACGAUCAGUAGCCGGACUGAGAGGUUGAACGGCCACAUUGGGACUGAGAUACGGCCCAG